ACGCUGGCGGCGUGCCUAAUACAUGCAAGUAGAACGCUGAAGAGAGGAGCUUGCUCUUCUUGGAUGAGUUGCGAACGGGUGAGUAACGCGUAGGUAACCUGCCUUGUAGCGGGGGAUAACUAUUGGAAACGAUAGCUAAUACCGCAUAACAAUAGGUGACACAUGUCAUUUAUUUGAAAGGGGCAAUUGCUCCACUACAAGAUGGACCUGCGUUGUAUUAGCUGGUAGGUGAGGUAACGGCUCACCUAGGCGACGAUACAUAGCCGACCUGAGAGGGUGAUCGGCCACACUGGGACUGAGACACGGCCCAGACUCCUACGGGAGGCAGCAGUAGGGAAUCUUCGGCAAUGGGGGCAACCCUGACCGAGCAACGCCGCGUGAGUGAAGAAGGUUUUCGGAUCGUAAAGCUCUGUUGUAAGUCAAGAACGAGUGUGAGAGUGGAAAGUUCACACUGUGACGGUAGCUUACCAGAAAGGGACGGCUAACUACGUGCCAGCAGCCGCGGUAAUACGUAGGUCCCGAGCGUUGUCCGGAUUUAUUGGGCGUAAAGCGAGCGCAGGCGGUUUGAUAAGUCUGAAGUUAAAGGCUGUGGCUCAACCAUAGUUCGCUUUGGAAACUGUCAAACUUGAGUGCAGAAGGGGAGAGUGGAAUUCCAUGUGUAGCGGUGAAAUGCGUAGAUAUAUGGAGGAACACCGGUGGCGAAAGCGGCUCUCUGGUCUGUAACUGACGCUGAGGCUCGAAAGCGUGGGGAGCGAACAGGAUUAGAUACCCUGGUAGUCCACGCCGUAAACGAUGAGUGCUAGGUGUUGGAUCCUUUCCGGGAUUCAGUGCCGCAGCUAACGCAUUAAGCACUCCGCCUGGGGAGUACGACCGCAAGGUUGAAACUCAAAGGAAUUGACGGGGGCCCGCA
rnacentral:rRNA from 1 species